rnacentral:rRNA from 1 species
AUUGAACGCUGGCGGCAGGCCUAACACAUGCAAGUCGAGCGGAUGAAGGGAGCUUGCUCCUGGAUUCAGCGGCGGACGGGUGAGUAAUGCCUAGGAAUCUGCCUGGUAGUGGGGGAUAACGUCCGGAAACGGGCGCUAUUACCGCAUACGUCCUGAGGGAGAAAGUGGGGGAUCUUCGGACCUCACGCUAUCAGAUGAGCCUAGGUCGGAUUAGCUAGUUGGUGGGGUAAAGGCCUACCAAGGCGACGAUCCGUAACUGGUCUGAGAGGAUGAUCAGUCACACUGGAACUGAGACACGGUCCAGACUCCUACGGGAGGCAGCAGUGGGGAAUAUUGGACAAUGGGCGAAAGCCUGAUCCAGCCAGGCCGCGUGUGUGAAGAAGGUCUUCGGAUUGUAAAGCACGUUAAGUUGGGAGGAAGGGCAGUAAGUUAAUACCUUGCUGUUUUGACGUUACCAACGGAAUAAGCACCGGCUAACUUCGUG